rnacentral:rRNA from 2 species
UCGGAUGAACGCUGGCGGCGUGCCUAAUACAUGCAAGUCGAACGAGUUCUGAUUAUUGAAAGGUGCUUGCAUCUUGAUUUAAUUUUGAACGAGUGGCGGACGGGUGAGUAACACGUGGGUAACCUGCCCUUAAGUGGGGGAUAACAUUUGGAAACAGAUGCUAAUACCGCAUAAAUCCAAGAACCGCAUGGUUCUUGGCUGAAAGAUGGCGUAAGCUAUCGCUUUUGGAUGGACCCGCGGCGUAUUAGCUAGUUGGUGAGGUAACGGCUCACCAAGGCAAUGAUACGUAGCCGAACUGAGAGGUUGAUCGGCCACAUUGGGACUGAGACACGGCCCAAACUCCUACGGGAGGCAGCAGUAGGGAAUCUUCCACAAUGGACGCAAGUCUGAUGGAGCAACGCCGCGUGAGUGAAGAAGGCUUUCGGGUCGUAAAACUCUGUUGUUGGAGAAGAAUGGUCGGCAGAGUAACUGUUGUCGGCGUGACGGUAUCCAACCAGAAAGCCACGGCUAACUACGUGCCAGCAGCCGCGGUAAUACGUAGGUGGCAAGCGUUAUCCGGAUUUAUUGGGCGUAAAGCGAGCGCAGGCGGUUUUUUAAGUCUGAUGUGAAAGCCCUCGGCUUAACCGAGGAAGUGCAUCGGAAACUGGGAAACUUGAGUGCAGAAGAGGACAGUGGAACUCCAUGUGUAGCGGUGAAAUGCGUAGAUAUAUGGAAGAACACCAGUGGCGAAGGCGGCUGUCUGGUCUGUAACUGACGCUGAGGCUCGAAAGCAUGGGUAGCGAACAGGAUUAGAUACCCUGGUAGUCCAUGCCGUAAACGAUGAAUGCUAGGUGUUGGAGGGUUUCCGCCCUUCAGUGCCGCAGCUAACGCAUAAGCAUCCGCCUGGAGAGCCGACUA